GAUGAACGCUGGCGGCGUGCUUAACACAUGCAAGUCGAACGGUGAACGAGGGAGCUUGCUCCCUCCGGAUCAGUGGCGAACGGGUGAGUAACACGUGAGCAAUCUGCCCUGGACUCUGGGAUAAGCGUUGGAAACGACGUCUAAUACCGGAUACGAGACGUGAAGGCAUCUUCAACGUCUGGAAAGAACUUCGGUCCAGGAUGAGCUCGCGGCCUAUCAGGUAGUUGGUGAGGUGAUGGCUCACCAAGCCUACGACGGGUAGCCGGCCUGAGAGGGUGACCGGCCACACUGGGACUGAGACACGGCCCAGACUCCUACGGGAGGCAGCAGUGGGGAAUAUUGCACAAUGGGCGCAAGCCUGAUGCAGCAACGCCGCGUGAGGGACGACGGCCUUCGGGUUGUAAACCUCUUUUAGCAGGGAAGAAGCGAAAGUGACGGUACCUGCAGAAAAAGCACCGGCUAACUACGUGCCAGCCGCCGCAGUAAAAC
rnacentral:rRNA from 1 species